GGAAUCUGCAGAAGUGAGGAGUCCUCUGCAGAGCAGCACUCCGCGAGGAAAGGCAACAGACGGCAGAGCGCUGGGAGGGCAAGGCCUGUGAGUAAGACGUGCUGCCUAUGCUAGCAGAUCCCCCAGGCCCCGGGGACUCACCCUCCAAUCAGCGGUGGGGGCGACUCUGUGAAAACGGCUGGUUCACGGAAACCCGGCGAGACAGCGGCACUGUGUUGGGAGGCUCUUAAGAGAAGGAAGAGAAAACUGCGCGCGCGGGCACAGCCAGGCCUUCCCUGACUGCGAUGCCCAGGAGGCCCAGGCAGCAGAAGUGACCACAGCGUCUUGCAGAUCAGUCUGUCUAGGGAAGGACGCUGACAUGCUCCGUGGAGAAGGCUUGGGAUUAAUUGCCCACAUAAGAGUGGAUUCAUCUCUGGGCUGUCUGUGCUGCUCUACUGACAUAUGUGUCUGGUUUUCUGCUGGAUCGAUACCGGUUUGAUUACUGUAGCUUUGAGUUUUGCUUCUGGUCAUUCAACUAAGAGCGCCCACGGAGAAGUGAAGAGAUGCAGGAGUUGUCACUACAGCCACAGCAGGCUCCCAUUUUAUCAUGGAGAUAAGCAUGGUUACCCAGCCCACCUCCCUGGGCAGGACCUGGAGAGAAAUGAAAUACAAACAUUCACAGACACCAUGCGUUCGAGAUAACAUCAGGUAACAUCAGGAGCUAAGGACAUAACUCAUCCGGAAUUGGGGACCUGGCGUUAUCAAGAGCAUUGAUUUGACCUAGUACAUCAUGAGAAAUGCCAGGCUGGAUGAAGCACAAGUUGGAAUCAAGACUGCCAGAAGAAAUAUCAGUAACCUCAGAUAUGCAGCUGAUACUACCCUUAAGGGAGAAAGUGAAGAGGAACUAAAGAGCCUCUUCAUGAAGGUGUGAGAGGAGAUUGAAAAAACUGGCUUAAAACUCAAUAUUCAAAAAACAAAUCAUAGCAUCUGGUCCCAUUACUUCAUGGUAAAUAGGAAACAGGGAGAGACUAUUUUUCUGGGCUCCAAAAUCACUGCAGAUGGUGACUGCUGCCAUGAAAUUAAAAGAUGCUUGCUCCUUGGAAGAAAAGCUAUGACUAACCUAGACAGUGUAUUGAAACGCAGAGACAUUACUUUUUCAACAAAGGUCCAUCUUGUCAAAGCUAUGGUUUUUUCCAGUAGUCAUAUAUGGGUGUGAGAGUUGGACCAUAAAGAAAGCUGAGUGCCAAAGAAUUGAUGCUUUUGAACUGUGGUGUUGGGAGAAGAUUCUUGAGAGUCCCUUGGACUGUAAGGAGAUCCAACCAGUCCAUCCUAAAGGAGAUCAGUCCUGAAUGUUCAUCGGAAAGACUGACACUGAAGCUGAAACUCCAAUACUUUGGCCACCUGAUGCAAAGAGCCAACUCACUGGAAAAGACCCUUAUGCUGGGAAAGACUGAAGGCAGGAGGAGAAAGGGAGGACAGAGGAUGAGAUGGCUGGAUGGCAUCACCAAGUCACAGGAUAUGAACUUGGGCAAGUUCCGGGAGAUGGUGAAGGACAGGAAGCCUGGCGUGCUGCAGUCCUUGGGGUUGUGAAGAGUCGGACACGACUGAGCUCCUGGACAACAACAACAGUAUAUUUUGCAGUCUGUGGUUGGUAAUUUCAGUAGUUGCAGCUGUUUUAAAUCUGUUUCUGUUUAAGACAGUAAAUUUUCUGUGUAGACUUGGGGAUGGCUGUAUAUGCUAUUAUGGGGGAAGUUUAUUUCUAGUACAUAUUUAAACUGAAUGAAUAAUUCUUGGAACGCUUUCUCUGUGUGUGUGUGUGCCCAUAGGGCAGGUCAUAGCUUUUGUCUCUUAUUAGAUAAAGAAAAUCGCAUGUGAACUGGGUUUGGCAAAUGUCCAUAGGGUAAAAGCAUGCUUUAGGAUCUGCUCACCUCUCUAGGUUUCUGCCUUCACUUAAUUUCUUUGACCUAAUAAUUUCUUUAUUGCCAGUUAAUAAAUGAGAUACCUAGUCCAUAAUAUAGCCAAAAACAAAGCCUAUGUUCUUCCUUAAAGUUUAUUAUCCAAACUUUCUUGGAAGGAUAUUUUCUUAAGAUAAAUAAUAGUAAGCAGAAAUGCUUAAAAUCAAUAUGCAAAUAUUUUGCAAGCAAAUCUGUAGAUUUUAGAGGUAGACUUUCUUUUUAGUAUAAAUUUUAUUUGAAUGUUUAUCAGAUAUCUGGCUGACUGUUUUAUAGAUAUCUAUCAUUUCACUUUAUUAAAUAGAAGUUUACAUAUUGUUCUAGAGUGCAUUUAGUCUUUGAACCACUAAUCUGUUGGUUAAAAUCCACUUUAGGUGAUCUGAGAGGUUAUGUUAUUUAACAAUUUCAAAAAUCUCUGUAAUUUAGAAGAAGAAAUACUUAUGUUUUACUCUUCUUUCACAUUUAUAGCUGCUCUAGGGUAUUGGUCAGGGUAUUGCUCCAGGGUAAAGGUCAAUUUCAGGUCUGCUCCAGGGCAUUGCUCCAGGGUAAAGGUCAAUUUCAGGUCUGCUCCACGUAUUUUCUCAUUCUGAGACACUACUUGGAACACGCUUUGCUCAUGGUAGGCAGUUCAAGACUAAUGGAUUACAUUAAAAAUUAAAGAAGUUAGCAUGUGUCCCAUCUACUCACAAACAACUGACUAAAGCAAGUCACAUGACCAAGAGUAAUACUACAGUCCACUUCAUAGACUUCAAGAUAACGUCAAAAACUUUAUCUAUGUCUGAAAUUGCUCUCAAUCUUCUUUGAAAAAUUAGGAUUUUAACCUAAAAGCCUCAUCAGCAGUCUUUGGCAAGAUAAGUGUCUAAAUGGAAGGCUAAUAGAAAAAAGCUCAGACUGUAAAGAAUCUCCUGCAAUUCAGGAGACCUGGAUUCAAUCCCUGGGUCAGGAAGAUCCCCUGGAGAAGAGAAUGCUUACACACUCCAGUAUUCUUGCCUGGGAAAUGCUACAGACAGAGGAGCUUGGUGGGCUACAGUCCAUGGGAUCACAAAGAGUUGGACAGUAUUGAGUGGCUAACAUUUUCUUUCAAAGGAAAAACCAAAAUAAAAUAAAAAGAAAAAAGAAAAAACCUAAACCCCUCAAGCCAAAUCUCUCACAUUCUACGUCAGAGUUUUCUAUGGGAAAGAUUAUCAUGACUGUCAGUGCUUAAACUGAUUUGAAAAAAGAAAACUUUUCAUUCUUAGAAAUGUAUAAUUAAUUAAACAUUAGGCAAAAGAGAUGGAUUCUCAUUGGAGUUUAAAUAGGAUAGUUAUAAUAAAAAGUUUUAGUUUAAAAUACUGUUCUUAAAAUCAUUUUAAGAGUAGCAAAUGCAGGGCCUCUCUUAACACAGAAAAUGGAAGCUACCGAAUACUUUUCAGUUACAGUACAAUAUCACAUAUUACAGUUUCUGCUUAUGUUAUGAUUACAUUGAAAAUGCAAGAUUGAAUGAUUAUUUCCUGAAACCCUAGAAUAUCAGAUUUGAAAGGACCUAAAAAGCAUAUAUUUUUCAACUGUAAUGCAUUGAGAUGCCAUUUUGCUGCCAUCGAUUGUGAUGUAUGUUAAAAUCAUUAGUCAUUCAUGACAAAUAACUAUAAUUAGCAAUAGUUAAAAUACAGAAGAUUAUGAAAGAUAUACUUGAAAUCAAACAGAACCCUUAGAAGACUUUCCAGGGACAGACCCUGGAAUCCUCUCUCCCACUCUUGUUUAUAAAAAAGUUUUAGCUUUCUCCAAAUUCCAAAGAGCAGAUUUAAUCAGAGCACUGAGAAAAUGCAGAAACAAAGGAAACUGGUCAAGCAGGACAAUAGAAUAGUUCAGCCAUAAAACAAAGUCAAGGACCUUUAGUUCCUCCUCGAGGGCUAUAGAUAAUAUCCCAAGCCAUAUCCUUGAGUUGUCUUGCAGAUACUAAAAUUCGCACCAGGUGAAAGAAGUUAACUGCUGACCUCCAGUACAUAGAACCCAGACCGGUUGGACCAGAAAGAUCAUAAUGUUGACUCUCAAAUACCACCCUGUUUCCUCACCACCAAUCAGAAGGAUGUCCACAAACUGAUCAGGCACCCUGAGACCCUCACCUUGCCUUUAAAAACCCUUCCCAUUAGGGAGUUUGGGUCUUUUGAGCAUGAGCUGCCUCUUCUCUUUGCUUGCCCCUACACUGGGCACCUUGCAAAAAACCCUGUACUUUCCUUCACCACAACUUGGUGUCAAGGAAUGGCUUCACUGUGCACCAGUGAGGGGACCCAAAUUUGGUUCUGUGAUAUAUUAAUUAUUUACAUUUGUCUUCCCUAUUACAUCUUCAUUUUCACUUAUGUACAUGCUGGAUGGGUGUGUGGGUGUGUGUGUGUGUGUGUGUGAGAGAGAGAGAGAGAGAGAGGAGUUAUAGCUAGUUUGAAAACAAUUUGCAUAAUCCUGGGUACACCAUGACUAUUUGUUUCAAAUGUGAACAUCAUCCAUUGGAAAAAAAGAUUGCAUAUCAUUCCUUAAAGAGCAUGUAGUCCAACUCCCUUUUAUCAGAACUUGAAAUGCAGAGAGUAACUUAUCUAGUUGCAUAUCUAAUAAACCUAAGCUUCCUUGAUUCCACUACAGUGCUUUCCAUUUCAAUAAAUGAUUUUAUUUUCAACAGCCAGUGUAAGAAAUGGUUGUCUGAGGAGGCCUUACAAAUAAACAUGAAAAGAAGAGACUUGAAAGGCAAAGGAGCAAAGGAAAGAUAUACUUAUUUGAAUUCAGAGUUUCAAAGAAUAGCAAGGAGAGAGAAGAAAGUCUUCCUCAGUGAUCAAUGCAAAGAAAUAGAGGAAAACAAUAGAAUGGGAAAGACUAGAGAUCUCUUCAAGAAAAUUAGAUACCAAGGGAAAUUUCAUGCAAAGAUGGGCACAAUAAAGGACAGAAACGGUAUGGACCUAACAGAAGUAGAAGAUAUUAAGAAGAGGUGGCAAGAAUACACAGAACUAUACAAAAAAGAUCUUCACCACCCAGAUAAUCACAAUGGUGUGACCACUCACCUAGAGCCAGACAUCCUGGAAUGUGAAGU